rnacentral:lncRNA from 1 species
AGGGAAGGCCCAGACCUUGAAGAUGACCUUUCCAAAGUGCUUAAGUCAAUAACAGUGUGCAACCCUGCCUCUCCCCCUCCCUAGGCCCUUGUUUAUAAUUGACAAUGUGAAGAUGGACUGGGGGCUCUUUCUUCUCUCCAAGUGUGUGAGAUCUUUUAAUCUCAACCAAAAAAAAAAAAAAAAGCAAAGGGCCAGGUGAUGGAAGAUGAUGGAAGAGAUAGGGUAAUUGGUUAGCCACAGAGUGAGGCUGGGGAGCUGUGAUUCCUUCUGUGGCAGGAGAAGAGCAUCUUGAACAGCAUCUCCUCUCACAAGUCUUCUUUUGUACAGCAGGAGAGGAGGAGGGGAUGCCUCCCUCUUGCACAUUCUUACAUCCAGCUACGGAGGCACAUUCACCAGCAACUGGUGCUUCUGGUGUACUGCAAAAUUCCCGGUCAGCAAAAGUCUUUCCAAGGGUUUUAGUGGACUUGGGAAACUAAGGCUGGAGUCUCACUGCUGAGGAGCUCAUGCUGAAAAACUAUUCAUGGU